rnacentral:rRNA from 1 species
UGCUCUAUAUGCCNUUAAGACAUAAGUCUGCAUNGGAAAUAUUUAUAGCUUUGGGAUGAGACUGUACGGUAUCANUUUGUUGGUGAGGUAAUGGCCCACCAAGACUAUGACGCCUAACUGGUUUGAGAGGAUGAUCANUCACACUGGAACUGAGACACGGUCCAGACUCCUACGGGAGGCAGCAGUGGGGAAUAUUGCACAAUGGACGAAAGUCUGAUGCAGCAACGCCGCGUGGAGGAUGACACAUUUCGGUGCGUNAACUCCUUUUAUAUGAGAAGAUAAUGACGGUAUCAUAUGAAUAAGCACCGGCUAACUUCGUGCCAGCAGCCGCGGUAAUACGAGGGGUGCAAGCGUUACUCGGAAUCACUGGGCGUAAAGAGCAUGUAGGCGGGUAGUUAAGUUGGAAGUGAAAUCCUAUGGCUCAACCAUAGAACUGCCUCCAAAACUGAUUAUCUAGAGUAUGGGAGAGGUAGAUGGAAUUUCUGGUGUAGGGGUAAAAUCCGUAGAGAUCAGAAGGAAUACCGAUUGCGAAGGCGAUCUACUGGAACAUUACUGACGCUAAGAUGCGAAAGCGUG